UCUCCUCAUACCCACUCGGUCAAAUGUCUCUUAGUGAUCCGGGUCAGUGGGCCUCCUUUCUCUCUCCUCCCUGUAUAAACAUCUCCACUCCCUCUCUUCUCACAACACUCAUCACCAGGUACUCGGUGCUGCGAUAAUUGCAUCGUCUAACAUGGGGAGGUCGCCGUGCUGCGAGAAAGCGCACACGAACAAGGGCGCCUGGACCAAGGAGGAGGACCAGCGGCUCGUCGCCUACAUCAAGGCCCACGGCGAAGGGUGCUGGAGGUCGCUCCCCAAAGCGGCGGGGCUGCUUCGGUGCGGAAAGAGCUGCCGGCUGCGGUGGAUCAACUACCUCCGGCCGGACAUCAAGCGCGGCAACUUCACCGACGAAGAGGACGACCUCAUCAUCAACCUUCACCAGCUUCUCGGAAACAAGUGGUCUCUGAUCGCCGGAAGGUUGCCGGGGCGGACGGACAACGAGAUCAAGAACUACUGGAACACGCACAUCAAGCGCAAGCUCGUCGCCCGCGGCCUCGACCCGCAGACGCACCGUCCGCUCUGUGUCGCCGCCGCCCCAGCGCCAAGUAGCCAUCACCAGGACCACCUGGCUGCGCGGUCAAGCUGCUCGCCGGAGACCAGCGGCGCAGGCCACAGCAGCGACGACGACAGCGUUUUCGCGCUGCACCUUGGUGGCAUCGACCUCAACCUGUCCUUAAGCCCGCCGAGCCACCCGUCAUCGCCGCCACCGACAACGAGGCAAGAAGCAGAAGAAACAAGCGACGAGAUUAUACCUAAAUUAAGAGAGUCCGAGCUACUCGUAGAAAGAGAGGUUAUGCUUGUGCUCGAACCGCCUGGCUUACAACGCGCCGAGGGAUGAAGCUGCAGCUAUAUAUGGCUAGAUCUUCUUCUUCCAUGCAGCCGAUCGACGAGCUCAGGAGAUCAUGAGGAAGUCGAUUUCCUCCAUGUUCUCUUAAUUUUUGUAACGCUUCUGCAUCAUCCUCUUGGCGUUUGGCAAAAAGCAGAAGCUCUUGUCGAGUCCCAUAUAAUAACAAAAUAUUUGUACAUAACAACAUACUCCCACAAAUCCAAAAUGUAAGUCGAUUGAGCCAUCCUCACUCUAUGCCAAUGUAAGGGCCUGUUUUUUUAGAGCUCUCCCUCAUUUAACUUUUUUUUGGAGAAGUGAUUAGG